GACGAACGCUGGCGGCGUGCCUAAUACAUGCAAGUAGAACGCUGAAGGAGGAGCUUGCUCUUCUGGAUGAGUUGCGAACGGGUGAGUAACGCGUAGGUAACCUGCCUGGUAGCGGGGGAUAACUAUUGGAAACGAUAGCUAAUACCGCAUAAGAGUAGAUGUUGCAUGACAUUUGCUUAAAAGGUGCAAUUGCACCACUACCAGAUGGACCUGCGUUGUAUUAGCUAGUUGGUGGGGUAACGGCUCACCAAGGCGACGAUACAUAGCCGACCUGAGAGGGUGAUCGGCCACACUGGGACUGAGACACGGCCCAGACUCCUACGGGAGGCAGCAGUAGGGAAUCUUCGGCAAUGGACGGAAGUCUGACCGAGCAACGCCGCGUGAGUGAAGAAGGUUUUCGGAUCGUAAAGCUCUGUUGUAAGAGAAGAACGAGUGUGAGAGUGGAAAGUUCACACUGUGACGGUAUCUUACCAGAAAGGGACGGCUAACUACGUGCCAGCAGCCGCGGUAAUACGUAGGUCCCGAGCGUUGUCCGGAUUUAUUGGGCGUAAAGCGAGCGCAGGCGGUUAGAUAGGUCUGAAGUUAAAGGCUGUGGCUUAACCAUAGUACGCUUUGGAAACUGUUUAACUUGAGUGCAAGAGGGGAGAGUGGAAUUCCAUGUGUAGCGGUGAAAUGCGUAGAUAUAUGGAGGAACACCGGUGGCGAAAGCGGCUCUCUGGCUUGUAACUGACGCUGAGGCUCGAAAGCGUGGGGAGCAAACAGG
rnacentral:rRNA from 1 species